GUAUAAACGUCGAGAUCUCAUGAACUAUAAGAGCUAAAAGGUUGAGAUUAAUCAUACAGAUUCUAGAGACAUAGGCGUGUUGACCCAUUUUGGCACUCCCAUUCUAACGCCCACAACCGCACAAAACUGCCACGCCCACACUUUUGAAAAAUGUGUUGAUAUUAUCUCAUAAUGUUAUUCGUCGUGUAAAUUUCUAUAGAUUUGCCAAAAAAAAACGGGUAUCUGAUAGUUGGGUAACACGACUAUAUCAUUCCCUCUUCUUUAUUCAUAAAUUAAACAAAAAUUCGAGCGGCUAUUUAAUUUGUAACAAUUAAUAUACAUAUCCGAGCGACUAAUUUUGGAUGCAGCUACAAAUCUAGUAAAAUCUUUUGAUCUACAAAUUGCUCGUUAAAGUAGCGAAUGAUAAUUUGUGGUCGAUAGUCUCCUUGCAAUAAACUUCAAAAACUAUAAGUAAUUAUAGUUUCGAAUUGAUUACAGCUCCCACUAUAAAAUUCAGAUCACUUUUUCACCAAAUUGAUACUAACAAACUGAGUUAUCAUUUUUUAGCAUUGCAAGCAUUAAAAUUCAAUUUGAUUCACCAUCUGUUUUUCAAUGACGCAUAAUUUCGCAGCCACAUUAUACACAUCUGUUCUCGAUUUACACUAAAAAUGUUGCAAUAAAACAAAUCUUGCACUUAACUCUGUAUGGAUGUUUAAGUUAAGAAUACCAAAGGCCCCAAAACCACCAAGCCGAACUUUCCACCAGACAGAUUGAUCGCACAGCAUUGAAACUUUUGGAGGGUGGCAGCCGAAGUCGAGGACUCUUUUAGCUUGUCCUUGGAAAUUCUUAUAAAUUACGAUGACAUCCGCUUGCAAGGUGCCAUAUGGGCAGUGAUGGCUGCACUCAUUUGAUCAUAACCAACGACUUCAAUACAGUACGCCCGGAAUUAAAAGAUUUACUUCAGAUCCGGGAGGUAUUACCUAUAAGAUGAAAUGUACGUAUGACUGUUGGAAGCGUCCAGAUCCUAUAGAGCUAAACUUUUUUAACAAAAAAAUGUUUGGAAAAUCACUCAGAAAUAAAAUGGCAUUAAACAAUACUAAGACUUCGAAAAGCAAAAAGGGUGAAACAAGUAAAAAAAAUCAAGGGUGUUGAUGCUUCAGUAUCAUCUUCACGUCAAUCAAGCAACCUAACCAAUUUGAUUAGUAUUUUGGUUCGCAAGGGAAUCUGUGAAAUAAAAGAGGGACACACUAGCGAAUUCGUGAAUCUGGAUAAUCUAAAGGAUAUCGUGCACAAGCUCGUCGCACGAAAUCGAGUCCAAUCUCUCGUUUAUAGUAACGACAAGCAAAUAUAUCAGACCGCAUAGCUGCAGUUGAACUGUCGGUAAAUGAACAUCUGAAAGAUAAAGAAUAUUUGAGUGACUACUAAAUGGACUUCGAUUCAAGCUCUAUCCCAGAAAAAUGAUGAAAUUUCACCUUCGCAUUCACACCAACUGAGAAGAGGGUAACUCGACUAUAGCAUUCUCACUUGUUUUACAUUACUGAAGGGAGCUUGCGUCCUUCCUUUCUUAUUUCCCUUCAAAAGAAAGCCUUAAAAAUUUUGUAUUUUUAAAUAUGUUAAGGAAAAUAAAUCCCAUAUUUUUAGAAUCGUGCACAUCAGUGCCUUAAUAAACGGUACUUACGAAAAGCAAAUCAUUUCACUUGUUUUAUUGCAUUUCAGUUUCUGUUCAAUUGCUCUUUCAAUUAUGAUUCGUCUAGAUUGUAUGUGUUUUCUUAGAAAUUUAGCGACGGUUUUCAGGUUUGUAUUUCGCAAGUACAUACAUUACAUGUAAA